AUUGAACGCUGGCGGCAGGCCUAACACAUGCAAGUCGAACGGUAACAGAAAGCAGCUUGCUGCUUUGCUGACGAGUGGCGGACGGGUGAGUAAUGUCUGGGAAACUGCCUGAUGGAGGGGGAUAACUACUGGAAACGGUAGCUAAUACCGCAUAACGUCGCAAGACCAAAGAGGGGGACCUUCGGGCCUCUUGCCAUCGGAUGUGCCCAGAUGGGAUUAGCUAGUAGGUGGGGUAACGGCUCACCUAGGCGACGAUCCCUAGCUGGUCUGAGAGGAUGACCAGCCACACUGGAACUGAGACAUGGUCCAGACUCCUACGGGAGGCAGCAGUGGGGAAUAUUGCACAAUGGGCGCAAGCCUGAUGCAGCCAUGCCGCGUGUAUGAAGAAGGCCUUCGGGUUGUAAAGUACUUUCAGCGGGGAGGAAGGGAGUAAAGUUAAUACCUUUGCUCAUUGACGUACC
rnacentral:rRNA from 1 species